GACGUAGGGGGCCAGCGUUGCUCGGAAUUACUGGGCGUAAAGCGUGCGCAGGUGGUUUCGUAAGUCAGAUGUGAAAUCCCCGGGCUUAACCUGGGAAUUGCAUUUGAGACUGCGAGGCUCGAGUACGGCAGAGGGAGGUGGAAUUCCACGUGUAGCAGUGAAAUGCGUAGAUAUGUGGAGGAACACCGAUGGCGAAGGCAGCCUCCUGGGCCAGUACUGACGCUCAU
rnacentral:rRNA from 1 species